GUCCCGCGGGGCAGCGCCAGCCGCUGCGGGAAGCCGAAGUGCGAGCGGAACUCGUCCAGGAAGAACUUGCUCUCGCCCUUGAGGGCGGCGAGGGUCGAGUGGUGCAGGUCCGAGUAGCUCGGCGCCUCCUUGCCGUACAGCGAGAAGUCUCGGGAGCUGCGCUUGAUGUCGUUCUCACCAACUGCCACUGCAAAAGACGAAGGGUACGGUCAGCACCAGUUAUCAACUGAUUCUAAUAGGGCAAGAUACAUGUUAUUGGCAUUCGGGAGGAAACAAUUCAGCCAUCUCAAUAACGGAAUGCCAGUUACUAGGAUAUGAACAUAAGGACAACGGAGCCUGAUCAGAGAAAUCUCCUAGCCAGCCAGAAAUCGACCACAGAUCUCUUCGCAUAGCGGUCUGGUCAAGAAUAUGCAUCGCCCAAGAGUAAAUUUUAAUGUGUUGGCCCCACUGGGCAGGAAACUGGAUUGGAUGCCCAUUACUGCAGAGUGUAAUGACGUAAGGACCAAACUUUUCGUGUUUUUUCUCGGUAUUUAGGGAAGAAAGUGGGACUAGCUGAAGCAUUCGGUUUAAUUUUGACAUCCAAGAACCAAAAAUGUCACUUUUCAAGCCAACCAAGAAUUUUGGCCACCCUACAGAUCACUAGGAAAAUUUCUCGAAGAAUUUGUUUUCACAUUCGUUGACUGUGAUAACUCACAACCAAACUGUCACGUUACAGCAUCACGUAGACCUUGGGAUAUGCUAUAGAUGAAUGUAUCACCACAAACCUACAUUCCAAAAAAAUUAUAUACAAAGUGUCAUACCCAACAUUUCAUAUAUUAUAUAGAGUGUAACCCGUAUAAUUGCAGGUAUUUUUAAGUGUAGCGGCUUAAUACAUACACAAAUCUGCGUAUUGUUUUUUUUCUCUCUGUGUCGAACUGUCCUCCUACAAACACAUCAUAAACUUUACGACCUGAUGUUCUCUGCAUGAUCGUAACUGCCCCACUAAGUAGAUUACAACUGUCAAUAUAGACCAACCGUUUUGUGUCGAUGCAACCACACUUCAACACAUGGCAAGCUGCCCAGGGGAUAAUAAGCAUUACUAUCUUGCUCUUGCCACACGUGAUUGAAGGUACUAACCGACCUAAAAACAUGCAGUUAGUUAAUAGCAAUGAUUACGUGUCAGCAAAUGAUGUAAAUACUGAUGUAAUAUUGUUCAGGUGCCGACCUCAGUUAGUAACAGAAAUAUCUACCUUUACACCCAUUAAACCCUGUAUAAUGUCAGUGCUCUGUUACCCUCUGUUUGCACAUUAUGGAGUGACAUGCCACAUCAUCAUUACAGUAUGCGUCGAAGCUGACAUGUGCGACUGGUA